UUUCAUAACUAAUCCUUUGGCUUCUUUCAUGUUCAUCCUCGCUUAAUCUUUCAAUCUUCUUUGGCAUAUGUCUUCACCAGAAGUUCUAUUCAUCCUUUAAUCCCACGUGUCUCUACCAGAAACCCUGUUCAGAUCUAAAAGUAUGUUCUUAAUUUGAAAGUGGGGUUGUCGUUCCUUGAGCACUAGGGUACGAACUCACCGGAAAGCCGAUCAGACACGUUUCAGGCAGUUUCGGAAGUACAGAAACCAAAAUCGUUUCGUACGUUUCAGAUCUGUGCAGCAUCGAAUCAACUUGCAUGUUUUCGGUUUAUAUAGAGUCUUUCGAUUUUAGGUUUAAUUCCCACCGUGCUAGCUUAACGAGUUGCUGAUCCGACCGUGGAAUUCUCCGAUCGGAGUCCUGCAAGACUUGCCUCCAAACUUUAUUACCACAGCUUAAAUCCAAAAGAAAUGGUUUGAUGAAUUUCAGAUCUUUAGCCGGGGAACAACGUUUUAGCCUAUUUCCUAAGUUGGUCUUAGUGGCACCAGGAAUCGGCGAAGGCCGAAGAGCAAUGUGAUUUCGAAAAGAGAGCUAAACGGGUUGUAGAAAGUGGUUCAUCUACAUGUAGAAGACAAAAGUCUGAUGAAUCUAUAGAUGCAUUGCCACCUGACAUAGAUUCUAUUCCAAAGAAUAUUUUUCAGAUGUUUAGACUAAAAAGUCAGUAUAAGAAGCCAUAUAAGAAAUAAAUUGAAAAUACAUUUUUUUAACGGCAAAUUUUUUUAUUGUUGUUGAAGACUUGAUAGACUUCC
rnacentral:lncRNA from 1 species